CGAGUUCUCGUUGAUGAUCGGUGCUUGCACCGAGAUUCAACAUGGAACGAGUGGCGGACGGGUGAGUAACACGUGGGUAACCUGCCCUUAAGUGGGGGAUAACAUUUGGAAACAGAUGCUAAUACCGCAUAGAUCCAAGAACCGCAUGGUUCUUGGCUGAAAGAUGGCGUAAGCUAUCGCUUUUGGAUGGACCCGCGGCGUAUUAGCUAGUUGGUGAGGUAACGGCUCACCAAGGCGAUGAUACGUAGCCGAACUGAGAGGUUGAUCGGCCACAUUGGGACUGAGACACGGCCCAAACUCCUACGGGAGGCAGCAGUAGGGAAUCUUCCACAAUGGACGCAAGUCUGAUGGAGCAACGCCGCGUGAGUGAAGAAGGCUUUCGGGUCGUAAAACUCUGUUGUUGGAGAAGAAUGGUCGGCAGAGUAACUG
rnacentral:rRNA from 2 species